rnacentral:piRNA from 1 species
UAGUUGGGAUGAACUGACGACAGCUAC